GCAGAUUAAAUGAAGAAAUGAAGGGCAUGGAAAGUCUAGCGACACAAUUGUAUCCUUGACUAGAUGGAAAAAGUCUUUAUCGUUGCUGCAGUGUUUGUCCUGAACACAUUUUUGUCCUGUGAACUUAGAAAUUUAUCGAAAAGCAUCAUUUUACUUCUUAUAAAUGAGCGACGCCCAUUCGUUGGAAAGUAAAAGCCACACAGUUUCAUUUUUUUUCCCUAGUUGAAUUAAAGGUUUGUGCUAUCAUUUGCGUUUUCCUUGACAUUGCUUCAGAAAAAUUCUGAGGAGGAAUGUUGAUGCUUUAGAUUCUUCUGUCAACAAGCUUGUCCGGCUUCCAUGACAUCGGAUAAGUUGUUGAUGCACUUCUGUUUCCCUACUUAAAGAUCUCUUCUUAUGAGAGUCCUAGUCUUGCCAACAUGAUACUUGAAGUGCUGGAGUGAGAGGAAAGAUGAGCACCUCACUUGUAAGAUUC
rnacentral:lncRNA from 1 species